rnacentral:rRNA from 1 species
UGCCCACUGAAGUUUUAAAUGGCCGCAGUAUUCUAACUGUGCAAAGGUAGCAUAAUCAAUAGUCUUUUAAUUGAAGGCUGGUAUGAACGGUUGGACGAGGUAUAAGCUGUUUCAUAUAAAUUUAUAGUAGAAUUUUAUAUUUUAGUUAAAAAGCUAAAAUACUGUUAAAAGACGAGAAGACCCUAUAAAUCUUUAUAUUUUAUAUGAUUUAAGUUUUUUGGAUUUAUUUUAUUUUUAUUAUAUAAAAUAUUUUGUUGGGGUGAUGUUAAAAUUUGAUAAACUUUUAAUUUUUAGAAUCAUUAAUUUAUGAGUUAUUGAUCCAUUAAUAGUGAUUAUAAGAUUAAGUUACUUUAGGGAUAACAGCGUAAUUUUUUUGGARAGUUCAUAUCGAUAAAAAAGUUUGCSACCUCSAUGUUGGAUUAAGAUAUAAUUUUAGGUGUAGCCGCUUAAAU